AUUGAACGCUGGCGGCAGGCCUAACACAUGCAAGUCGAACGAGUGGCGGACGGGUGAGUAAUGUCUGGGAAACUGCCUGAUGGAGGGGGAUAACUACUGGAAACGGUAGCUAAUAACGCAUACCAUCGGAUGUGCCCAGAUGGGAUUAGCUAGUAGGUGGGGGAAAGGCUCACCUAGGCGACGAUCCCUAGCUGUUCUGAGAGGAUGACCAGCCACACUGGAACUGAGACACGGUUCCGACGCCGACGGGAGGCAGCAGUGGGUAAUAUUGCACAAUGGGCGCAAUCCUGAUGCAGCCAUGCCGCGUGUAUGAAGAAGGCCUUCGGGUUGUAAAGUACUUUCAGCGGGGAGGCGUUACCCGCAGAAGAAGCACCGGCUAACUCCGUGCCAGCCGCCGCGGUAAUUC
rnacentral:rRNA from 1 species